UCGGCGCCCCGGCGCCCUGCGGGUCUGUGCUGGCAGAGGCCCGAGAGCCGCGUCCCGGGCGGCGGGAGAGCAGCCUGUCGCGUCUGGCGAGGAGGAGCGGUGUCCCCAACAGGUGAGGAGUACAGAAGAGGAGACCAUCAUCUUGUCCGGGAGGGGCUCUCAGCAGAGAGUGGUUGCACCAGCUUGCAUUCCCACCAACAGAGCACUGUGUUCUUCUUAACAAGGCCAGGGGAAACUAGCUCACCGAGCCUAACCUCCUGGGGUUUUAUCAGAGCCUAACUGACCUGGAAGAAGAGAAACACCCAACCCCAGCCAGCUCUGGCCACCCUGUCCCACCAUAGCAAGAGGACUGAGAAACCCUGUGAGGGUCACAGCCCAGGGGCACAGGCUCUGUGCAAGUCGGAGUCCCAAUCCUAGGAAAGAUCCUACCAAAUCACUAAAGGCCAGUUUCCAACAGUUCCUUUGCCUGGCGCAUCAUGGCUGGCCAUCAAGAACAAAGGACAGGGUGUACCAAAAGCCAAAAAAAAAAAAAAAACCCCAAGCAAAAACAUUUUGAAGAGAUACAGAUGCAGCAGCAGAACCAGAUGCAGGUAUAGCAGAAAUGCUGGAAUGAUCAUCUCAGGAACUUAACCCACGGUGAUUCAUAUGCUAAGGGCUCUUGCAGGUAGAGUAGACAGCAUGCAAGAGCAGAUGGGCGACGUGAACAGGGAGGUGGAAAUCCUAAGAAAGACUCAAAAAGAAGCUCCAGAGACCAGAAACCCUGUGACAGAAAUGAAGAAUGCCUUUCGAUGGGCUUGUAGGUGGACUGGGUGUGGCUGAGGGAGUAAGCUCGGUGCCUGAGGAUGCACCAGCAGAAGCCUCCGAAACCAAGCAGCAAACAGAAACAAGACUGGGAGAACACAGAAGGGAGUGU